rnacentral:rRNA from 1 species
GACGAACCGUGCGAACGUUAUUCGGAAUCACUGGGCUUAAAGCGCGUGUAGGCGGGACGGCACGUCGGUCGCUGAAAGCCCCCCGGCUCAACCGGGGGAACGGGCGCCGAUACGACCGUCCUGGAGGGACGUAGGGGGACCUGGAACUUCCGGUGGAGCGGUGAAAUGCGUUGAGAUCGGAAGGAACGCCCGUGGCGAAAGCGAGGUCCUGGACGUUUUCUGACGCUGAGACGCGAAAGCCAGGGGAGCGGAACGGG